UAUGUAGCACUUAAGUUACGAAGGGUAAAUGGGGAAAUUACCCCCAAAACAUAACAAAAGUAUGUUUCAAGGGUAUUGUAAACCCUAACCCCAUUGCACUUGGAGAACAUCUAGAGAAGAGAAGAGGAGAGAAGAAGAGGCGAGAAGCAGAGCUUAAACGAAGAGCAUCACCAUCUUCGAUCUACCAUCCGUCCGCGAGGUGGGAUGCGUUCUCUCUCUCUCUCUCUCUCUCUCUCUCUCUCCACUGAUUUUUCUUAUUUUGUAGGUUUUCUGUUGUUCCAGCGAGUUCGAGCCUUCAAGGUUCCUCUGUGCACAAAACUGUAUUGCAAGAUCUCUCUCUCUCUUUCUCUUUCUCGUUCUCUUUCUCUUUCUCUCACUCUCGUUCCAUUUCUUUCUUGAUCUCUUCUCCCUCUUCCUCUGUGCCUUCAUCUCUGAAAAAUCUAAACUUUUUCACUCUCUGUGCGCCUUCUUCUCCUUCAACAGCAUUGUUCUUAACAUCCUUCAACAGCACUGUUCUCCCUUAUAUGUUUCUUUGACGUAUUUGCAGGGGAAGCGGGGUAUUGAGAAACAGCCUUUUCAACUUCCUGAUUUCAUUGCUGCACAGGGAUUGAAAAACUAAGACAAGCACAGAUCCAUAUCGCACUUCAGAUUCCUGUGGUGGUGGGGGCCUUGGCAAUCUGAGUCGCAUUAAGAAUUGCAACGAGAAAGAGAUCACUAGUGAAGGAAGUGCAGGUGCUUAGGUUGCAAAGAGCAUUGUGGAUCUGAUAUUCUGAGAUGAUUAAGAUAAUUGGCCAUGGAAUAAAACCUCUGCUUAAUAUGUUUAAUGUUUAUUUAGUGUAAUAUGUUUCACAUAACUUCAACUAUGAUGUUCACUCAUUGACAACAUGGGGGAACAAUAAUAAGAGUGUGAAGUUGUUUGAACCUGGUAGUAGUAUGGAUGCCUGUAAUAAUCUAAUUGAGAUAGGAGUAGAUAUGUGUUAUUUGUUGGGUGAA